rnacentral:lncRNA from 1 species
AGUUCACACAUACCUGUCAGUCAGGAAGAGGAUUGCAGUAAGACAUCUGAUCAAUUUAUAGAAUGCAGUUGGGGCCAUUCCACACAUGGCAAUCAUACCAGGACUGUCACAGGCACCUGAUGUCCAGGACCACACAACCCAAGACGAAGACAACUGUGACAGAAUCACCCACCACCAAAGGACCAAGCAGCAGAGGAAGGAGCAGACGGAGUUCGAGUUGGACUGGCGGGAGAAGUGGACUUGGGAGGAAGUUCUGGACGGGGCCGGACCCUGGCAUCAGGCUGGGGAUUAUCGACGCCCGC